GCGGGUGUGGUGAAAUUGGUAGACACGCUAGAUUUAGGAUCUAGUGCUUAACCGCGUGGGGGUUCGAGUCCCUUCACCCGCA
rnacentral:tRNA from 1 species